rnacentral:rRNA from 1 species
CCUACGGGAGGCAGCAGUGGGGAAUAUUGCACAAUGGGCGAAAGCCUGAUGCAGCGACGCCGCGUGAGGGACGACGGCCUUCGGGUUGUAAACCUCUUUCAGCAGGGACGAAGCGCAAGUGACGGUACCUGCAGAAGAAGCACCGGCUAACUACGUGCCAGCAGCCGCGGUAAUACGUAGGGUGCAAGCGUUGUCCGGAAUUACUGGGCGUAAAGAGUUCGUAGGCGGUUUGUCACGUCGUUUGUGAAAACUCACAGCUCAACUGUGAGCCUGCAGGCGAUACGGGCAGACUUGAGUACUGCAGGGGAGACUGGAAUUCCUGGUGUAGCGGUGAAACGCGCAGAUAUCAGGAGGAACACCGGUGGCGAAGGCGGGUCUCUGGGCAGUAACUGACGCUGAGGAACGAAAGCGUGGGUAGCGAACAGGAUUAGAUACCCUGGUAGUCCACGCCGUAAACGGUGGGCGCUAGGUGUGGGUUCCUUCCACGGAAUCCGUGCCGUAGCUAACGCAUUAAGCGCCCGCCUGGGGAGUACGGCCGCAAGGCUAAAACUUAAGAGUAGUGACGCGAGAGUGCGACGAGCACGAGGAGGAG